CCCAGACUCCUACGGGAGGCAGCAGUGGGGAAUAUUGGGCAAUGGGCGCAAGCCUGACCCAGCAAUGCCGCGUGAAGGAAGAAGGCUUUCGGGUUGUAAACUUCUUUGACAGGGGAAGAGCAGAAGACGGUACCCUGAAAACAAGCCACGGCUAACUACGUGCCAGCAGCCGCGGUAAUACGUAGGUGGCAAGCGUCGUCCGGAUUUACUGGGUGUAAAGGGAGCGUAGACGGCGAUGCAAGCCAGAUGUGAAAGCCCGGGGCCCAACCCCGGGACUGCUCUGGAAACUGCGGCGCUGGAGUACGGGAGGGGGAGGCGGAAUUCCUGGUGUAGCGGUGAAAUGCGUAGAUAUCAGGAGGAACACCGGCGGCGAAGGCGGCCUGCUGG
rnacentral:rRNA from 1 species